CUGCUUCUCUCCUAAACGCUACUUCGAGAUACACCAAAUAGGUGCAAAUAAGAAGAGAACAUAAAUAACUACCAAAAGCCUAGUUAUAUCUAUGUGUCUACUAUUAUCUAAGCCCAUCUAGAAGUUCCCACCAAUCAUAGCACUAGCACAUUUACCCCAGCAUUUGCUAUUUAUAAGUACAUUCCGUCCGAAUUUUUCUAUUAUAACUCAGUGCCCUAGCCAGCAUGUGCCUUGAAUGGUGUAUAGGUCUAUAAUCC
rnacentral:lncRNA from 1 species